rnacentral:rRNA from 1 species
UUGGAGGGCAAGUCUGGUGCCAGCAGCCGCGGUAAUUCCAGCCCCAAUAGCGUAUAUUAAAGUUGUUGCAGUUAAAAAGCUCGUAGUUGAAUUUCGGGAUCAAUGUUUCGGUCAUGCCGUUGGUAUGUACUGAUAUUAUUGAUUUCUCACCUUCUAAAGAACCGUAAUGCCAUUAAUUUGGUGUCACGGGGAAUUAGGACUGUUACCUUGAAAAAAUUAGAGUGUUUAAAGCAGGCUCACGCUUGAAUACAUUAGCAUGGAAUAAUGAAAUAGGACAUCCGAUUCUAUUUUGUUGGUUUCUAGGAUCACCGUAAUGAUUAAUAGGGAUAGUUGGGGGCAUUAGUAUUCAAUUGUCAGAGGUGAAAUUCUUGGAUUUAUUGAAGACAAACUACUGCGAAAGCAUUUGCCAAGGAUGUUUUCAUUAAUCAAGAACGAAAGUUAGGGGAUCGAAGACGAUCAGAUACCGUCGUAGUCUUAACCAUAAACCAUGCCGACUAGGAAUCAGACGAUGUUAAUUUUUUAAUGUCUCGUUUGGCACCUUACGGGAAACCAAAGUGUUUGGGUUC